rnacentral:rRNA from 1 species
CAAUAGCGUAUAUUAAAGUUGUUGCAGUUAAAAAGCUCGUAGUUGGAUUUCGGGAUGGCCCGGCCGGUCUGCCGCAAGGUAUGUUACUGGCCGAGCUGUUCUUCUUCGCAAAGACUGUGUGUGCUCUUAACUGAGUGUGCUCAGGAUCUGUGACGUUUACUUUGAAAAAAUUAGAGUGUUCAAAGCAAGCCAGCGCUUGAAUACAUAAGCAUGGAAUAAUGGAAUAGGACUUUGGUUCUAUUUUGUUGGUUUCUGGAACCUUAGUAAUGAUUAAGAGAGACAGUUGGUGGCAUUCGUAUUUCGUUGUCAGAGGUGAAAUUCUUGGAUUUACGAAAGACGAACUACUGCGAAAGCAUUUGCCAAGAAUGUUUUCAUUAA